rnacentral:rRNA from 1 species
CACUAUCGUUAACUGAAUACAUAGGUUAACGAGGCGAACCGGGGGAACUGAAACAUCUAAGUACCCCGAGGAAAAGAAAUCAACCGAGAUUCCCCCAGUAGCGGCGAGCGAACGGGGAGCAGCCCAGAGUCUGAAUCAGCUUGUGUGUUAGUGGAACGGUCUGGAAAGUCCGACGGUACAGGGUGAUAGUCCCGUACACCAAAAUGCACAGGCUGUGAACUCGAAGAGUAGGGCGGGACACGUGGUAUCCUGUCUGAAUAUGGGGGGACCAUCCUCCAAGGCUAAAUACUCCUGACUGACCGAUAGUGAACCAGUACCGUGAGGGAAAGGCGAAAAGAACCCCGGCGAGGGGAGUGAAAAAGAACCUGAAACCGUGUACGUACAAGCAGUGGGAGCACCUUCGGGUGUGACUGCGUACCUUUUGUAUAAUGGGUCAGCGACUUAUAUUCUGUAGCAAGGUUAACCGUAUAGGGGAGCCGCAGGGAAACCGAGUCUUAACUGGGCGUUAAGUUGCAGGGUAUAGACCCGAAACCCGGUGAUCUAGCCAUGGGCAGGUUGAAGGUUGGGUAACACUAACUGGAGGACCGAACCGACUAAUGUUGAAAAAUUAGCGGAUGACUUGUGGCUGGGGGUGAAAGGCCAAUCAAACCGGGAGAUAGCUGGUUCUCCCCGAAAGCUAUUUAGGUAGCGCCUCGUGAACUCAUCUUCGGGGGUAGAGCACUGUUUCGGCUAGGGGGUCAUCCCGACUUACCAACCCGAUGCAAACUACGAAUACCGAAGAAUGUUAUCACGGGAGACACACGGCGGGUGCUAACGUCCGUCGUGAAGAGGGAAACAACCCAGACCGCCAGCUAAGGUCCCAAAGUCAUGGUUAAGUGGGAAACGAUGUGGGAAGGCACAGACAGCCAGGAUGUUGGCUUAGAAGCAGCCAUCAUUUAAAGAAAGCGUAAUAGCUCACUGGUCGAGUCGGCCUGCGCGGAAGAUGUAACGGGGCUAAACCAUGCACCGAAGCUGCGGCAGCGACACUAUGUGUUGUUGGGUAGGGGAGCGUUCUGUAAGCCUGCGAAGGUGUGCUGUGAGGCAUGCUGGAGGUAUCAGAAGUGCGAAUGCUGACAUAAGUAACGAUAAAGCGGGUGAAAAGCCCGCUCGCCGGAAGACCAAGGGUUCCUGUCCAACGUUAAUCGGGGCAGGGUGAGUCGACCCCUAAGGCGAGGCCGAAAGGCGUAGUCGAUGGGAAACAGGUUAAUAUUCCUGUACUUGGUGUUACUGCGAAGGGGGGACGGAGAAGGCUAUGUUAGCCGGGCGACGGUUGUCCCGGUUUAAGCAUGUAGGCUGGUUAUCCAGGCAAAUCCGGAUAAUCAAGGCUGAGGUGUGAUGACGAGGCACUACGGUGCUGAAGUAACAAAUGCCCUGCUUCCAGGAAAAGCCUCUAAGCAUCAGGUAACAUCAAAUCGUACCCCAAACCGACACAGGUGGUCAGGUAGAGAAUACCAAGGCGCUUGAGAGAACUCGGGUGAAGGAACUAGGCAAAAUGGUGCCGUAACUUCGGGAGAAGGCACGCUGGUGUGUAGGUGAAGUCCCUGCGGAUGGAGCUGAGACCAGUCGAAGAUACCAGCUGGCUGCAACUGUUUAUUAAAAACACAGCACUGUGCAAACACGAAAGUGGACGUAUACGGUGUGACGCCUGCCCGGUGCCGGAAGGUUAAUUGAUGGGGUUAUCCGUAAGGAGAAGCUCUUGAUCGAAGCCCCGGUAAACGGCGGCCGUAACUAUAACGGUCCUAAGGUAGCGAAAUUCCUUGUCGGGUAAGUUCCGACCUGCACGAAUGGCGUAAUGAUGGCCAGGCUGUCUCCACCCGAGACUCAGUGAAAUUGAACUCGCUGUGAAGAUGCAGUGUACCCGCGGCAAGACGGAAAGACCCCGUGAACCUUUACUAUAGCUUGACACUGAACAUUGAGCCUUGAUGUGUAGGAUAGGUGGGAGGCUUUGAAGCGUGGACGCCAGUCUGCGUGGAGCCAACCUUGAAAUACCACCCUUUAAUGUUUGAUGUUCUAACGUUGGCCCCUUACCGGGGUUGCGGACAGUGUCUGGUGGGUAGUUUGACUGGGGCGGUCUCCUCCCAAAGCGUAACGGAGGAGCACGAAGGUUAGCUAAUCCUGGUCGGACAUCAGGAGGUUAGUGCAAUGGCAUAAGCUAGCUUGACUGCGAGCGUGACGGCGCGAGCAGGUGCGAAAGCAGGUCAUAGUGAUCCGGUGGUUCUGAAUGGAAGGGCCAUCGCUCAACGGAUAAAAGGUACUCCGGGGAUAACAGGCUGAUACCGCCCAAGAGUUCAUAUCGACGGCGGUGUUUGGCACCUCGAUGUCGGCUCAUCACAUCCUGGGGCUGAAGUAGGUCCCAAGGGUAUGGCUGUUCGCCAUUUAAAGUGGUACGCGAGCUGGGUUUAGAACGUCGUGAGACAGUUCGGUCCCUAUCUGCCGUGGGCGCUGGAGAAUUGAGGGGGGCUGCUCCUAGUACGAGAGGACCGGAGUGGACGCAUCACUGGUGUUCGGGUUGUCAUGCCAAUGGCACUGCCCGGUAGCUAAAUGCGGAAGAGAUAAGUGCUGAAAGCAUCUAAGCACGAAACUUGCCCCGAGAUGAGUUCUCCCUGAGACUUUAAGUCUCCUGAAGGAACGUUAAAGACGAUGACGUUGAUAGGCCGGGUGUGUAAGCGCAGCGAUGCGUUGAGCUAACCGGUACUAAUGAACCGUGAGGCUUAACCUU